rnacentral:tmRNA from 1 species
GGGGGCGACAUGGCUUCGACGGGGAUCGUCGAGGGAAAGGCUGCAGGCGGAGGUCCGUUCCAUCCACCUCCUUAAACCGGUGGGACACGCUUUAAGUGCGGAACCUGAACUCGCACUGGCCGCCUGAUUUAAGGUAGCCCGUCUGCCCGCGAAUCGCCGGUGUUUGCGGUGUCAGGCGUCAUCCCAGCCGGCUGGCCGUUGGCGCGCCGCCCGAGCGCGAACGGUGAGAUUUCCGGGCUAGCUGCGGCAGCGAGCGUGUCUUCCGGCGCGCGCCAAAGCGAAUCGUGCGGUAAAGAAGGCAGACUAAGCCUGUAGAUGCCUUUUCUGAGAGGUCUUCGGACGUGGGUUCAAUUCCCACCGCCUCCACCA